rnacentral:tRNA from 1 species
GGCCGGAUGUCGAAGUGGUAACGAUGCGGUCUGCAAAACCGCCAUGCGAGGGUUCGAUUCCCUCUCCGGCCUCAA